GUCAGGAGGGACGAGUGGUCUAAGGCGCUGCAUUCAAGAUCGCAGUCCAUUCUGUGGGCGUGGGUUCGAAUCCCACUUCGGACA